rnacentral:rRNA from 1 species
AGAUUGAACGCUGGCGGCAUGCCUAACACAUGCAAGUCGAACGGGAGUAGCAAUACUCUAGUGGCGGACGGGUGAGGAAUACGUAGGAAUUUGCCCUUAAGUGGGGGAUAACCCGGGGAAACCCGGAUUAAUACCGCAUGACCUCGAAAGAGCAAAGUGGGGGAUCGCAAGACCUCACGCUUUUGGAGAAGCCUACGUCGGAUUAGCUAGUUGGUGAGGUAAUGGCUCACCAAGGCGACGAUCCGUAACUGGUCUGAGAGGAUGAUCAGUCACACCGGAACUGAGACGCGGUCCGGACUCCGUACGGGAGGCAGCAGUGGGGAAUAGUUGGACAGUGGGCGACGAAGCCUGAUCCAGCAAUGCCGCGUGUGUGAAGAGGUCCGUUCGGUUAGUAACGCUAACGUUUAAGGUU